rnacentral:lncRNA from 1 species
UGCUUGACCACUUAGGGUCAUAUAACUUCUGACCUGGUUGCUGUUUUUUUGCCAUUUCAAGUGACGGCUGCAGCAGCACCUUCGAUAAGCCAUCUCCAUGGAAACAGCCCAGCAACAGGCUGGCCCCUCAUGGCCAAUGAGAGCACGAGGUGUCUCGGUUUCUCCUCCAAUGGUGGUGGGGGGCUGCUGAACUCAAGAUGCCUCUGCUGUGAAGACUGAACAGAUGACAUAAUUCAACCCACA